UACGGGGGGAGCAAGCGUUGUUCGGAUUUACUGGGCGUAAAGGGCGCGUAGGCGGUCAGCACAAGUCAGUUGUGAAAUCUCCGGGCUUAACUCGGAAAGGUCAACUGAUACUGUGCGACUAGAGUGCAGAAGGGGCAACUGGAAUUCUCGGUGUAGCGGUGAAAUGCGUAGAUAUCGAGAGGAACACCUGCGGCGAAGGCGGGUUGCUGGGCUGACACUGACGCUGAUGCGCGAAAGCCAGGGAGCAAAGCGGG
rnacentral:rRNA from 1 species